GAUGAACGCUGGCGGCAUGCCUAAUACAUGCAAGUCGAGCGAACGUAAGAGUAUUUUUCUUUUCUUAAGUUGGGGGCGGACGGGUGAUUCAUACGUGGCUUCCCUUUCUUUAAGACUUGGUUCACUUCGCGAGACCUGAGCUAAUACCGGUUGUUCUUUCGAACGGCAUGGUUCAUAAGUUCUCAACCGUUUUGCUGUCCCUAAUCGCUGGAUCCGCGCUGCAUUAGCUAGUUGGUACGGUAACGGCUUACCAAGGCAACGAUGCAUAUCCGAACUGAGAGGGUGAUCAGCCACACUGGAACUGAGACACGGUACAGACGACUACGGGAGGCAGCAGUAGUGAAUCUUCGCAAAUGGGCGAAAGCCUGACGAAGCAAAGACGCGUGAAUGAAGAAGGUCUUCGGAUGGUAAAACUCUAUAAGUGGGGAAGAAAGGAUGUAUAAGUAAAUGUGCACAUGUUGACGGUACCAAAACAAAAAGCCCAGGAUAACUACGUG
rnacentral:rRNA from 1 species